AACCCAUGGUGAGGGCACCUUCUCAAUAAGUCCUUGUAUCUCUCCCAUGCAUCAUAAAGAGUUUCUAGAUCCAUUUGCAUAAAAAAAGAGUUAUCAUUCCUCAAUUU
rnacentral:snoRNA from 1 species